UACGUAGGGAGCGAGCGUUGUCCGGAUUUACUGGGUGUAAAGGGUGCGUAGGCGGCAAUGCAAGUCAGAUGUGAAAACUAUGGGCUUAACUCAUAGAUUGCAUUUGAAACUGUGUUGCUUGAGUGAAGUAGAGGCAGGCGGAAUUCCCGGUGUAGCGGUGAAAUGCGUAGAGAUCGGGAGGAACACCAGUGGCGAAGGCGGCCUGCUGGGCUUUAACUGACGCUGAGGCACGAAAGCAUGGGUAGCAAACAGG
rnacentral:rRNA from 2 species